AGAAGGUGCACCCAGCUGAGAUUAGCAUGGAGAGGCCUGCAGAGAGAGGAGCAGAGCAGGCUCACGGUAGAAUGUCACUUAGCUCAGUGGCACGUCGUGUGCAGAGGGUGAUGUAGCCGUGAGGUGUGCGAGCAGAAUCUCAGGGGAGCAAUAGCUGAGCUGCUGCUCUACACAGUAUCUGCACUUGUCCUACCUGUCCAUUAGCUGAUAUGAUGUUGCCGGGGAGAACAGCCAGGGACCCUAGGAAGCUGACCAGGUAGAUAAGCACGUCGUUCUCCUCGUCGAUGUCCAGGUGACAGCCCCUCUUGUUGUGGAGGAACGUGGUGUUCUCCAGCUUACAGUCUAUGAACUUCUCCUCGUACAGGGAGAAGUUGAAGUGGAAGCGUUCAACUCUCUCUCUAUGGAACACCUUGACUUUGGACUCAUACUCCUCUUGCUGCAGACGGGGGUCUUUCUUACCCGAUGCCAGAGAAGAGCCUAAAGAAGAGGAAGAAGCCGUAUCCCUGGGCAAAGGAGGAGAGGAAGGCGAAGACACAGUUGACGGUGAGGGCCCAGAUCAGACACUUCCGGCGGCCCAGUUUGUCUGCCAU